GUUUUACUAUAAUUUGUUUAAGAUGAUGACACGUUAAUGACUAUUGUUUAUUGAUUUUAUGAGAUAACAUGUACUAUUUAUUUAUGGUAUCAUUUAUUUAUAUAGAUAAAGGAUACUAUAAUCAAAAGUAAGAUUUAUUAUCACUUUCAUGGAAUAGUAUAAAUAUGUUUAAUGGUAUGACACCCGAAGUGGAAUCUCAUUAUAAAGUUAUAAAAAUGGAUACUUGGACAUAUAAUUACUUGUCAAUUGAUGUUAUGUGAGGAGAAAUUUAUUUAUAAUGGAAAAAUCGGAUAAAACAAAUUUUGUUUGUCAAACCU
rnacentral:lncRNA from 1 species